UUUAUUGCGUCGAUCAAUGCAUUGAAAGUGACUACAUCGGGGUUCCGAUUUUUUUUGUUCUUCAUAUGAUGAAGCGGAAACAGUAAUCAACCCUGGUUUAGUCACUUUCACUGCAUUAAUCAAUGCAUU
rfam:Arabidopsis thaliana chromosome 1, complete sequence.